rnacentral:rRNA from 1 species
UGGGGAAUAUUGCACAAUGGGCGAAAGCCUGAUGCAGCAACGCCGCGUGAGUGAUGAAGGCCUUCGGGUUGUAAAGCUCUGUCUUUUGGGACGAUAAUGGCGGUACCAAAGGAGGAAGCCACGGCUAACUACGUGCCAGCAGCCGCGGUAAUACGUAGGUGGCAAGCGUUGUCCGGAUUUACUGGGCGUAAAGGAUGCGUAGGCGGAUUUUUAAGUGAGAUGUGAAAUACCCGGGCUUAACUUGGGUGCUGCAUUUCAAACUGGGAAUCUAGAGUGCGGGAGAGGAGAAUGGAAUUCCUAGUGUAGCGGUGAAAUGCGUAGAGAUUAGGAAGAACACCAGUGACAGAGUGAUCUCUGGACCGUAACUGACGCUGAGGCAUGAAAGCGUGGGUAGCAAACAGGAUUAGAUACCCUGGUAGUCCACGCCGUAAACGAUGAGUACUAGGUGUAGGAGGUAUCGACCCCUUCUGUGCCGCAGUUAACACAAUAAGUACUCCGCCUGGGAAGUACGAUCGCAAGAUUAAAAA